rnacentral:rRNA from 1 species
GAUUAACGCUGGCGGCGUGCAUAACACAUGCCAGUCGAACGAUGAAACUUAAAUGAUUUCUUCGGAAUGAACUUAAGUGGAUUAGUGGCGGACGGGUGAGUAACGCGUGAGUAACCUGCCUUACACAAGGGGAUAGCCGUUGGAAACGACGAAUAAUACCCUAUGAAACUAUCACUUCGCAUGAAGCGAUAGUCAAAGUGUUAGCGGUGUAAGAUGGACUUGCGUCUGAUUAGCUAGUUGGUGAGAAAAAAGCCCACCAAGGCAACGAUCAGUAGCCGGCUUGAGAGAGUGUACGGCCACAUUGGGACUGAGGCACGGCCCAGACUCCUACGGGAGGCAGCAGUGGGGAAUUUUGCACAAUGGGGGAAACCCUGAUGCAGCGACGCCGCGUGAUUUAGAAGGCCUUCGGGUUGUAAAAAUCUUUUGUAUAGGAAGAAAAUGACAGUACUAUACGAAUAAGGUCCGGCUAAUUACGUG